UACAGUACUUUUAUGAUAUUAGCACGCCACCUGCUGGAAAUCAUAGGAACAUCAUAGAAUAGAGGAAUGCAGAUGAAUCUUGUGACAAACAGCUGACAUCAUUUUUGUACUUCCUGCUUUUGCAUCCACCCCAAGACAUUUAAAGUUCAACCUCUCAAGAAACAUAAGACUUAACUGAUGUGAUCAUGGAAAGAGUCCAAAUGGCUCAACAAAUAGAAAAAUAUCUGGUGAUUCUCCUUACAGUAUCAGGUGUUAUCUGUCAGGAUCGGAUUGGACCCAGUGACCAGAGGACCAGCGUAAACAAUACAGAAGGAGAUUCAGUGACACUGAAGUGUACAUACCAUUCAAGCAGCAGCUAUGUUCUCCUUUAUUGGUACAGACAGUUUUCUAACACACAGCCACAAUUUGUACUGGUGAAAGGCGGAAAAUCAGAGACAUAUGAGAAUAUACCAGACCGUCGAUUUGGAUCAACUACAUCCCAGACAUCCACCUCACUGACCAUUACAACUGUAACUUUGUCAGAUGCAGCUCUGUAUUACUGUGCUCUAAGAGUAACAGCCCAAUGA